ACAGUAGACAGUCCAGCUUCACAAUUGCUUGUUUUCAUACCUCUAUUGCCACCUCUAAUAUCAUAAUCUCUAAAAUUCUCUCAUAUUUAAAAUAUUUUCUUGUCUUUCCAUCUUCUCUCACUAAAUGAAACCCAUUGCAUUUUCCCCAGCCUUUGACUGUAAUCUCUCCUACCUUCAUUUCCUUCCCUCACCAAGCCUGAAUUAUUUCAAGUAUACUGUACUUUCUUACCAAUGUUUUCAUCUGUUUUUCUCCCUUG
rnacentral:lncRNA from 1 species